AAAGCCUGACGCAGCGACGCCGCGUGAGGGAUGAAGGCCUUCGGGUCGUAAACCUCUGUCAGGAGGGAAGAACCGCCAUGGUGCUAAUCAGCCAUGGUCUGACGGUACCUCCAAAGGAAGCACCGGCUAACUUCGUGCCAGCAGCCGCGGUAAUACGAAGGGGGCUAGCGUUGCUCGGAAUCACUGGGCGUAAAGCGCACGUAGGCGGAUCGUUAAGUCAGGGGUGAAAUCCUGGGGCUCAACCUCAGAACUGCCCUUGAUACUGGCGAUCUCGAGUUCGAGAGAGGUUGGUGGAACUCCGAGUGUAGAGGUGAAAUUCGUAGAUAUUCGGAAGAACACCAGUGGCGAAGGCGGCCAACUGGCUCGAUACUGACGCUGAGGUGCGAAAGCGUGGGGAGCAAACA
rnacentral:rRNA from 1 species